rnacentral:rRNA from 1 species
GACGAACGCUGGCGGCGUGCUUAACACAUGCAAGUCGAACGGUGACGGAGAGCUUGCUCUCCUGAUCAGUGGCGAACGGGUGAGUAACACGUGGGCAACCUGCCCCAGACUUCGGGAUAACGCUUCGAAAGAGGUGCUAAUACCGGAUACGAACUCCUUGGGCAUCCUUGGAGUUGGAAAGUUUUUCGGUCUGGGAUGGGCCCGCGGCCUAUCAGCUUGUUGGUGAGGUAACGGCUCACCAAGGCGACGACGGGUAGCCGGCCUGAGAGGGCGACCGGCCACACUGGGACUGAGACACGGCCCAGACUCCUACGGAGGCAGCAGUGGGGAAUAUUGCGCAAUGGGCGAAAGCCUGACGCAGCAACGCCGCGUGAGGGAUGACGGCCUCGGUUGUAA